UACGAGAGGCCCAAACGUUAUUCGGAAUUACCGGGCUUAAAGAGUUCGUAGGCGGCGCAGAAAGUAGGGUGUGAAAGCCCUCGGCUUAACCGAGGAAUUGCGCUCUAAACUACUGUGCUUGAGGAACCUAGAGGUGAGCAGAACUGAUGGUGGAGCGGUGAAAUGCGUUGAUAUCAUCAGGAAUACCGGAGGCGAAGGCGGCUCACUGGGGGUUUUCUGACGCCGAGGAACGAAAGCCAGGGGAGCGAACGGG
rnacentral:rRNA from 1 species